AGUGAACGCUGGCGGCGUGCUUAACACAUGCAAGUCGAACGAGAACGGAUUAUAGCUUGCUAUAAUUGUCAGCUAAGUGGCGCACGGGUGAGUAAUGUGUAGGUAAUAUGCCUCUUACUAAGGGAUAACAAAUGGAAACGUUUGCUAAUACCUUAUACUCCUUAUUAACAUAAGUUAAUAAGGGAAAGAUUUAUUGGUAAGAGAUUAGCCUGUAUUGUAUCAGUUAGUUGGUGGGGUAAUGGCUUACCAAGACUAUGACACAUAACUGGUUUGAGAGGAUGAUCAGUCACACUGGAACUGAGACACGGUCCAGACUCCUACGGGAGGCAGCAGUGGGGAAUAUUGCACAAUGGACGAAAGUCUGAUGCAGCAACGCCGCGUGGAGGAUGACACAUUUCGGUGCGUAAACUCCUUUUAUAUGAGAAGAUAAUGACGGUAUUAUAUGAAUAAGCACCGGCUAACUCCGUGCCAGCCACCGCCGUAA
rnacentral:rRNA from 1 species